rnacentral:rRNA from 1 species
UACGAAGGGGGCUAGCGUUGCUCGGAAUGACUGGGCGUAAAGGGCGCGUAGGCGGCCUGGUUAGUUAGAUGUGAAAUUCCUGGGCUUAACCUGGGGACUGCAUUUAAUACAGCCAAGCUUGAGUGUGGAAGAGGGUCGUGGAAUUCCCAGUGUAGAGGUGAAAUUCGUAGAUAUUGGGAAGAACACCAGUGGCGAAGGCGGCUUCCUGGACUAAAACUGACACUGAGGCACGAAAGCGUGGGUAGCAAACAGG